GUGCCUGAGGAGAAAAUGGUGCCGGGGGGGGGUGCGCGCGCUCCAUGUCUCCAUGGGGGCUGCCGCCCGUGGCUGUCCCCCUUCCUAGGCAUGGCAGAGCAGCUCCUUGCUAAUUGGCAAAGCUCCUACCAUCACGUUGGUAGCAGUCGUUGACUGUAGCGAGGAACACGGCGAGCCCGGCGAAGGGGCGCGGCGCGGUGGCUUGGCGGUCCUUUGACUUGUUCGGUUUUCCCUUAAGUGGUCGGAACUCGGGCUUUAAACGAGUCUUUUUACUUUUUUUUUAAAGGUUUCUUUGUCAGCCCGGAAGCCGGAAGUGCAGAGACGCCAUUAAAGUUCCUCUCCCCGCCGAAAAGCCACGUGGCCGGGGGAAAAACAUUCUUGAGUUGUGAUGACAGAAGAAGAUGGGGCUAAAUUCAACAUGUGUAUUUUUGGAGUAGUAAUUAGAAUUUCAAUUUUUUACUUAGCUGAGGGGUGAAUGUCUGAGCUUCCAGAAUUAAUGCUCUUUGCAAGCAGUAGUAUUUCUGGUUGUCAAACAGAGCAGGCAAAUUCUACUUUUAGGCUAGGUCUUAAUUUCACUUCAGACAAAAAUGAUCUUUUUGAUCGUUUGAAGUUGAAACCUACAGCCUAGAUGUUCUGCAAUCUCUCUCUGCUCUUUACAGAGAGCACAGAGGACCUGGGAUGUAGCUUAAUGUGCUUGAAAUUAGCCUUGACUCUUGCAGCUCUGUCUCGAAUACUGUUCCCAGUGUUUCCCAUUUAGCAUUGUAGACCUGCCUGUCCCUGUGGCAAACGCAUCUCUUUCUGAUUGUCUGGUGCCCAAACAAACUGGAAUGCAUGGGCCACAAAACAAAACUCAUGGAAGAACAGGAAAGUGCUUAACAAAAACUAUCAGCAUAACAAGCAAGUGCAUAGGCACAUUGGUCAGGUUAACUUAUGUUCACCUGUCCUUAUGGGGGUGCACAACCACUGAGGACCCCUGAUGAUGGGCAGUACCAUCAGGAGGAAGAUAGUAGUACAGCACAUGCUAACCACAUGAUAGCAGAGGUCUCCCCGCCUGGUAAGAGUGGUCUUGACCAAUCUUAACUACACAUGGUUACUGUGUGUGCUGUCUGGUCUAGCAGGAAUAUGCAUGGCAAUGAACUGGCUAUGUGCCAUUACCCUGGAAGCCAGAUGGGAAAAAUCACAAGGGAAAACUAUAAAGGACAGUACUUUUGGAAGACAUUAGGUACCCUCCCCACCAAAUCACUGAAGAUAGCAGACCAAUGGGAUGCUACUGGAUCCACGGUGGUGACCAUCUCUUGCAAUCUGUAAGAUUCCUUUGCUUAUAUUUCCAUACUUUUUCUAUUCCUUCUUUCUUAACUCUUGCUUCUCUUUUGAUCCACAUAUAGAAGGAAUCCAGUAGACAACAUCUGAUCUUGUUUGUGUCUUAAUCUCACUGUGUGUGAAUCACAAACUACCCUACGAGCAAUCGGAACAGGACAGCUCCAUACACAAAUACCAAGCAAACCUUAUCCAGACUAUAUUCUUCUUUUGUGCUGCCUUCCAAAAUCUGUCUGCUCCUGCCUUAGGGCCAUCUCUAAAUUUUAAGCUAUCCAGUCUCUCAGUUGUUCGCUGACUAUGCUGUCCCAUGGCUGACCAUACUGCAGUAUUGUUAAAUCUGAUGAUGUACACCUUCGGUGGCUGCUCUUCUGCUGCUAAAUAAACUACCUUAGAAAGGUCUCAAGGAGUACACGUGUAGUCCAAAAGGCAAAGGUAAGUUUGGGAAGUCUAGAAAAUGCACGUGACCAUCCAGUCUUAAUUUCAAUAUAUGCUGUUGUGAAGCAUUCAAAUGUAUUAAUGAGUCAAUAAAAAGACAUUGAGUUACACUGAAA